CCUACGGGAGGCAGCAGUGGGGAAUCUUAGACAAUGGGCGCAAGCCUGAUCUAGCCAUGCCGCGUGAGUGACGAAGGCCUUAGGGUCGUAAAGCUCUUUCGCCAGAGAUGAUAAUGACAGUAUCUGGUAAAGAAACCCCGGCUAACUCCGUGCCAGCAGCCGCGGUAAUACGGAGGGGGUUAGCGUUGUUCGGAAUUACUGGGCGUAAAGCGUACGUAGGCGGAUUAGUAAGUUAGGGGUGAAAUCCCGAGGCUCAACCUCGGAACUGCCUCUAAAACUGCUAGUCUUGAGUUCGAGAGAGGUGAGUGGAAUUCCAAGUGUAGAGGUGAAAUUCGUAGAUAUUUGGAGGAACACCAGUGGCGAAGGCGGCUCACUGGCUCGAUACUGACGCUGAGGUACGAAAGUGUGGGGAGCAAACAGGAUUAGAUACCCUGGUAGUCCACACCGUAAACGAUGAAUGCCAGUCGUCGGGUAGUAUACUAUUCGGUGACACACCUAACGGAUUAAGCAUUCCGCCUGGGGAGUACGGUCGCAAGAUUAAAACUCAAAKGAAUUGACGG
rnacentral:rRNA from 1 species